rnacentral:rRNA from 1 species
GAUGAACGCUGGCGGCGUGCUUAACACAUGCAAGUCGAACGGAGCACCCUUGAAGGAGUUUUCGGACAACAGAUAGGAAUGCUUAGUGGCGGACGGGUGAGUAACGCGUGAGGAACCUGCCUUGGAGAGGGGAAUAACACAGUGAAAAUUGUGCUAAUACCGCAUGAUGCAGUUGGGUCGCAUGGCUCUGACUGCCAAAGAUUUAUCGCUCUGAGAUGGCCUCGCGUCUGAUUAGCUAGUUGGUGGGGCAACGGCCCACCAAGGCGACGAUCAGUAGCCGGACUGAGAGGUUGACCGGCCACAUUGGGACUGAGACACGGCCCAG